rnacentral:tRNA from 1 species
GCCCGGGUGGCACAAUUGGCUAGCGCGUAAGACUUUUAACAAAUAAAUCUUAAGGUUGAGGGUUCGAGCCCCUCCUCGGGCG